rnacentral:rRNA from 1 species
UACGAAGGUCCCGAGCGUUGUUCGGAAUCACUGGGCGUAAAGGGAGCGUAGGCGGCGCGGUAAGUCAGAUGUGAAAUCCCGGGGCUCAACCCCGGAACUGCAUCCGAUACUGCCGUGCUAGAGGAUUGGAGAGGUAGCUGGAAUUCUUGGUGUAGCAGUGAAAUGCGUAGAGAUCAAGAGGAACACUCGUGGCGAAAGCGAGCUACUGGACAAUUCCUGACGCUGAGGCUCGAAAGCGUGGGGAGCAAACAGG